GCCAUCAUCACUUCCACUAUCCAACUCAGGGAUUCCCUCAUCUUCAUCAUCCACCUCCAUCUUCUCCAUCUGGGUAGUCUGCUUUACGACAGUUUCAUUUGUUUUGGAAGUGGUUGUCGCCAAAGUCGAGUUGGAGGUAAAGGAGAUGAAAGAGCUUGAGGUGGUUGUAGACGUAGUUUGUUCGGGUUGGGAUGGGAUGGGGUCGACGGCUGGUGUUGCUGCAGGUGCGGACGUAGAAGCGGGAAUGAGAGCUGGGGAAGGGGGGGGUGCGACUGAUGGGGCGGCAAUGGGGGCAGCGACAGGUACCACAGGAGCCGUAGUGGCUACAGACGCAGAUGAGGCUACUUCUCUAGUUGAUGGAAGGGCAAAGGAAGCAAAGCCGGUCGUGGAAGCAAUCUGCGGAGGAGCAGGUGCAAGUCGAACGGUCUCUUCUUCCUCUUCCUGCUCAGCCUCAAUCUCCUCGUCGUCAACCCCCAAUCUUGCUAAUUUCCUUUCCUUCUUCUCUUCAUCACCUUCCUUGGUGAAGAAAUGUAAUUCUCGCAAAGCCGGUUGAGCUCGAAGCAUGGGAGGAAGUUUAGGGUGAACAAUCUUAUCGAUUGACGAUUGAGAUUUGUGGCCCUGGAGUUGCAAAUUUUCAAUUCCUCCAAGAUCUCCGAUUUGGCGUUGAACGAAGGGAAAACGGAUGAGAAUAAUGAGGGGAGAGCCAGGUAGAGGGAGAGAUGAAGUCGAAUAGAAAGAGUCAGCAAGGAAGGAGAGAUGAGAGGGGUAGUAUGCAAUAUAGGUGAAACUGUAUUCCAUCAGCGACUAUAUAUACACAAAAAUAGGACCCA
rnacentral:sRNA from 1 species